CCUACGGGAGGCAGCAGUGAGGAAUAUUGGUCAAUGGACGCAAGUCUGAACCAGCCAUGCCGCGUGCAGGAAGACGGCUCUAUGAGUUGUAAACUGCUUUUGUACGAGGGUAAACGCAGAUACGCGUAUCUGUCUGAAAGUAUCGUACGAAUAAGGAUAGGCUAACUCCGUGCCAGCCGCCGCGGUAAUACGGAGGAUUCAAGCGUUAUCCGGAUUUAUUGGGUUUAAAGGGUGCGUAGGCGGUCGGAUAAGUUAGAGGUGAAAUCCCGAGGCUCAACUUCGGAAUUGCCUCUGAUACUGUUCGGCUAGAGAGUAGUUGCGGUAGGCGGAAUGUAUGGGGUAGCGGUGAAAUGCUUAGAGAUCAUACAGAACACCGAUUGCGAAGGCAGCUUACCAAGCUACUUCUGACGUUGAGGCACGAAAGCGUGGGGAGCAAACAGGAUUAGAUACCCCUGUAGUC
rnacentral:rRNA from 1 species